rnacentral:rRNA from 1 species
GACGAACGCUGGCGGCGUGCUUAACACAUGCAAGUCGAACGGAAAGGCCCUGCUUUUGUGGGGUGCUCGAGUGGCGAACGGGUGAGUAACACGUGAGUAACCUGCCCUUGACUUUGGGAUAACUUCAGGAAACUGGGGCUAAUACCGGAUAGGAGCUCCUGCUGCAUGGUGGGGGUUGGAAAGUUUCGGCGGUUGGGGAUGGACUCGCGGCUUAUCAGCUUGUUGGUGGGGUAGUGGCUUACCAAGGCUUUGACGGGUAGCCGGCCUGAGAGGGUGACCGGCCACAUUGGGACUGAGAUACGGCCCAGACGCCUACGGGAGGCAGCAGUGGAGAAUAUUGCACAAUGGGCGGAAGCCGGAUGCAGCAACGCCGCGUGCGGGAGGACGGCCUUCGGGUUGUAAACCGCUUUCGCCCGUGACGAAGCGUGAGUGACGGUAAUGGGGAAAGAAGCACCGGCUAACUACGU